rnacentral:tRNA from 1 species
GGGCAUGUACCUUAGUGGUAGAGCACUUGCCUAGCAUAUAAAAGCCCCUGGGUUCAAUUCCCAGUACCCCCC